rnacentral:rRNA from 1 species
UACGGAGGGUGCAAGCGUUAUCCGGAUUCACUGGGUUUAAAGGGUGCGUAGGCGGGUUGGUAAGUCAGUGGUGAAAUCUUCAAGCUUAACUUGGAACUGCCGUUGAUACUAUCAAUCUUGAAUGUUGUGGAGGUAAGCUGGAAUAUGUCAUGUAGCGGUGAAAUGCUUAGAUAAUGACAUAGAACACCGAUAGCGAAGGCAGCUUGCUACACAAAAAUUGACGCUGAGGCA